GACGAACGCUGGCGGGAUGCCUUACACAUGCAAGUCGAACGGAGUGGCGAACGGGUGAGUAAUGUAUCGGAACGUGCCCAGUAGCGGGGGAUAACUACGCGAACGCGUAGCUAAUACCGCAUACUAUUAGAACGGCCGAUAUGUGAUUAGCUAGUUGGGGGGGUAACGGCUCACCAAGGCGACUAUCCGUAGCAGGUUUGAGAGGACGACCAGCCACACUGGGACUGAGACACGGCCCAGACUCCUACGGGAGGCAGCAGUGGGGAAUUUUGGACAAUGGGGGAAACCCUGAUCCAGCCAUCCCGCGUGUGCGAUGAAGGCCUUCGGGUUGUAAAGCACUUUUGGCAGGAAAGCGGUACCUGCAGAAUAAGCACCGGCUAACUACGUGCCAGCAGCCGCGGUAAUUC
rnacentral:rRNA from 1 species